rnacentral:rRNA from 1 species
UGGGGAAUUUUGCACAAUGGGGGAACCCUGAUGCAGCGACGCCGCGUGAUUUAGAAGGCCUUCGGGUUGUAAAAAUCUUUUCUAUGGGAAGAAAAUGACAGUACCAUAGGAAUAAGGACCGGCUAAUUACGUGCCAGCAGCCGCGGUAAUACGUAAGGUCCGAGCGUUGUCCGGAAUCAUUGGGCGUAAAGGGUACGUAGGCGGGUAAGCAAGUUAGAAGUGAAAUCCUAUAGCUCAACUAUAGUAAGCUUUUAAAACUGCUCAUCUUGAGGUAUGGAAGGGAAAGUGGAAUUCCUAGUGUAGCGGUGAAAUGCGCAGAUAUUAGGAGGAAUACCGGUGGCGAAGGCAACUUUCUGGCCAUAACCUGACGCUGAGGUACGAAAGCGUGGGUAGCAAACAGG